rnacentral:rRNA from 1 species
AGUGAACGCUGGCGGUAGGCCUAACACAUGCAAGUCGAACGGCAGCACAGUAAGAGCUUGCUCUUACGGGUGGCGAGUGGCGGACGGGUGAGGAAUACAUCGGAAUCUACUUUUUCGUGGGGGUUAACGUAGGGAAACUUACGCCAAUACCGCAUACGACCUACGGGGGAAAGCAGUGGAUCUUCGGACCUUGCGCGAUUGAAUGAGCCGAUGCCGGAUUGGCUAGUUGGCGGGGUAAAGGCCCACCAGGGCGACGAUCCGUAGCUGGUCUGAGAGGGUGAUCAGCCACACUGGAACUGAGACACGGUCCAGACUCCUACGGGAGGCAGCAGUGGGGAAUAUUGGGCAGUGGGCGCAAGCCUGAUCCAGCCAUACCGCGUGGGUGAAGAAGGCUUUCGGGUUGUAAAGCCCUUUUGUUGGGAAAGAAAAGCAGCAGGUUAAUACCCCGCUGUUCUGACGGUACCCAAUGAAUAAGCACCGGCUAACUUCGUG